AUUGAACGCUGGCGGCAGGCCUAACACAUGCAAGUCGAGCGAGCGGCGGAGGGGUGAGUAAUGUCUGGGAGACUGCCUGAGGGAGGGGGGUAAAUACUGGAGACGGUAGCUAAUCACCCAUACCCUAGGAUGUGCCCAGAUGGGAUUAGCUAGUAGGUGGGGUAAUGGCUCACCUAGGCGACGAUCCCUAGUUGGUCUGUGAGGAUGACCAGCCACACUGGAACUGAGACACGGGCCAGACUCCUACGUGAGGCAGCAGUGGGGAAUAUUGGACAAUGGGCGAAAGCCUGAUGCAGCCAUGCCGCGUGUGUGAAGAAGGCUUUCGGGUUGUAAAGCACUUUCAGCGGGGAGGCGUUACCCGCAGAAGAAGCACCGGCUAACUCCGUGCCAGCAGCCGCGGUAAUAC
rnacentral:rRNA from 1 species